rfam:Gossypium raimondii Chr04_contig_682, whole genome shotgun sequence.
AUCCCUUGGUGAGGGCAUCUACGAAGUAACUCCUUGAAUCUUUCCCACGCCUCGUAUAGGGACUCAUCAUCCAUUUGCUGGAAAGUGGUGAUCUCGUUCCUCAACUU